rnacentral:miRNA from 1 species
UUGGCCAAAAAGUUCAUUCGGGUUUUUCCAUAAGAUGGUACAGAAACAUCCAAACAAAGUUUUUGGCCAA